GACGAACGCUGGCGGCGUGCUUAACACAUGCAAGUCGAACGCUGAAGCUUGGUGCUUGCACUGGGUGGAUGAGUGGCGAACGGGUGAGUAAUACGUGAGUAACCUGCCCUUGACUCUGGGAUAAGCCUGGGAAACUGGGUCUAAUACUGGAUACGACAUGCCACUGCAUGGUGGUGUGUGGAAAGGGUUUUACUGGUUUUGGAUGGGCUCACGGCCUAUCAGCUUGUUGGUGGGGUAAUGGCCUACCAAGGCGACGACGGGUAGCCGGCCUGAGAGGGUGACCGGCCACACUGGGACUGAGACACGGCCAAGACUCCUACGGGAGGCAGCAGUGGGGAAUAUUGCACAAUGGGCGGAAGCCUGAUGCAGCGACGCCGCGUGAGGGAUGACGGCCUUCGGGUUGUAAACCUCUUUCAGCACGGAAGAAGCGAGAGUGACGGUACGUGCAGAAGAAGCGCCGGCUAACUACGUG
rnacentral:rRNA from 1 species